rnacentral:rRNA from 1 species
AGAGUUUGAUCCUGGCUCAGGAUGAACGCUAGCUACAGGCUUAACACAUGCAAGUCGAGGGGCAGCGAGAAGAAAGCUUGCUUUCUUUGUCGGCGACCGGCGCACGGGUGAGUAACGCGUAUCCAACCUUCCCUAUACUAGAGGAUAGCCCGGCGAAAGUCGGAUUAAUACUCUAUGUUCUUCGUAGAAGACAUCUGAAAUGAAGCAAAGAUUUAUCGGUAUAGGAUGGGGAUGCGUCUGAUUAGGUUGUUGGCGGGGUAACGGCCCACCAAGCCUACGAUCAGUAGGGGUUCUGAGAGGAAGGUCCCCCACAUUGGAACUGAGACACGGUCCAAACUCCUACGGGAGGCAGCAGUGAGGAAUAUUGGUCAAUGGGCGAGAGCCUGAACCAGCCAAGUAGCGUGCAGGAUGACGGCCCUAUGGGUUGUAAACUGCUUUUAUAUGGGGAUAAAGUGAGGGACGCGUCCCUUUUUGUAGGUACCAUAUGAAUAAGGACCGGCUAAUUCCGUGCCAGCAGCCGCGGUAAUACGGAAGGUCCGGGCGUUAUCCGGAUUUAUUGGGUUUAAAGGGAGCGCAGGCUGGCUUUUAAGCGUGACGUGAAAUGUGGAUGCUCAACAUCCGAGCUGCGUCGCGAACUGGAGGCCUUGAGUGAGUACGACGGAGGCGGAAUUCGUGGUGUAGCGGUGAAAUGCUUAGAUAUCACGAAGAACCCCGAUUGCGAAGGCAGCCUCCGAGUCCUUUACUGACGCUAAAGCUCGAAAGUGCGGGUAUCGAACAGGAUUAGAUACCCUGGUAGUCCGCACGGUAAACGAUGGAUGCCCGCUGUUUGCCUUUGAGGUAUGUGGCCAAGGGAAACCAUUAAGCAUCCCACCUGGGGAGUACGCCGGCAACGGUGAAACUCAAAGGAAUUGACGGGGGCCCGCACAAGCAGAGGAGCAUGUGGCUUAAUUCGAUGCAACGCGAAGAACCUUACCUGGGCUUGACAUCCAGCUGCACGGCCUGUGAAAGCAGGCUUCCUUCGAGGGUGCUGGACAGGUGCUGCAUGGCUGUCGUCAGUUCGUGCCGUGAGGUGUUUGGUUAAGUCCACCAACGAACGCAACCCCUUUGGGAUGUUGCCAGCGGGUAAUGCCGGGAACUCGUCCCAGACUGCUUGUUCACGCAAGAGGAAGGUGGGGAUGACGUCAAGUCAGUAUGGCCCUUACGCCCAGGGCUGCACACGUGCUACAAUGGCCGGUACAGAGGGAAGCGAGACCGCAAGGUGGAGCCAACCCCAGAGAGCCGGCCCCAGUUCAGAUCGGGGUCUGCAACCCGACCCCGUGAAGUCGGAUUUGCUAGUAACGGCGCAUCAGCUACGGCGCCGUGAAUGCGUUCCCGGGCCUUGUACACACCGCCCGUCACAUCAUGAAAGCCGUCUGCACCCGAAGUCGGGCAUUUGUCCGCCUAAGGUGUGGGUGGUGAUUGGGAUGAAGUCGUAACAAGGUA